UAUAGGACCCUUUUGAAAAAAUAACGGGAAUUAAGAUAGUGGAUAUUUGUAUUAAAUAUGUUUGUAAUUACUAUUGUUUUUACAAUUUUAUCCUUUAAGAGAGAAUUGUUUUAUGUUUUCAACAUGAUAUUUAUUGCUGAUUGAAGAAAAUUAUGUAUAAUAAAUAGGGGCAUGCAUGUAAAGAAAUAAUUAAUGUAGUUGGAAAUAGCAAAGGGAUCUUAUAAAAAGGGACAAAAAAAAUUCUCAAAA
rnacentral:lncRNA from 1 species